rnacentral:misc_RNA from 1 species
CACUAUAUACUCUCGUCUCUCUCGACUGUGCUGAAAUUUUUUGGAUCAAAAAAAAUCCAAUCGGAAAAUCACCCAAUUUCGACCGGAAAAAAUGUCGGGAAAAGGAGCUAAGGGUUUGAUUAUGGGGAAAACAGCGGCUAAUAAGGAUAAAGAAAAGGAGAAGAAGAAACCCACUUCUCGUUCUUCUCGUGCUGGUCUACAGUUUCCAGUUGGGCGUAUCCAUCGACUGCUGAAGGAGAGAACCAACGCCAAUGGGAGAGUGGGUGCUACUGCAGCUGUCUACUCUGCUGCAAUCUUGGAGUAUCUAACCGCUGAGGUAUUGGAGCUGGCUGGAAAUGCAAGCAAGGAUUUAAAGGUGAAACGUAUCACCCCAAGACAUUUGCAGCUAGCAAUUCGAGG